rnacentral:rRNA from 1 species
AUGAACGCUGGCGGCGUGCCUAAUACAUGCAAGUCGAGCGAACAGACGAGGAGCUUGCUCCUUUGACGUUAGCGGCGGACGGGUGAGUAACACGUGGAUAACCUACCUAUAAGACUGGGAUGACUUCGGGAAACCGGAGCUAAUACCGGAUAACAUGUUGAACCGCAUGGUUCAACAGUGAAAGACGGUCUUGCUGUCACUUAUAGAUGGAUCCGCGCCGCAUUAGCUAGUUGGUAAGGUAACGGCUUACCAAGGCAACGAUGCGUAGCCGACCUGAGAGGGUGAUCGGCCACACUGGAACUGAGACACGGUCCAGACUCCUACGGGAGGCAGCAGUAGGGAAUCUUCCGCAAUGGGCGAAAGCCUGACGGAGCAACGCCGCGUGAGUGAAGAAGGUCUUCGGAUCGUAAAACUCUGUUAUUAGGGAAGAACAAAUGUGUAAGUAACUAUGCACGUCUUGACGGUACCUAAUCAGAAAGCCACGGCUAACUACGUG